CACGUAGGGGGCAAGCGUUGUCCGGAAUCAUUGGGCGUAAAGCGCGUGUAGGCGGCCAGGUAAGUCCGUUCUGAAAGCCCGGGGCUCAACCCCGGGAGGCGGAUGGAUACUGCUUGGCUCGAGUCCGGAAGAGGCGAGUGGAAUUCCCGGUGUAGCGGUGAAAUGCGCAGAUAUCGGGAGGAACACCAAUGGCGAAGGCAGCUCGCUGGGACGGUACUGACGCUGAGACGCGAAAGCGUGGGGAGCAAACAGG
rnacentral:rRNA from 1 species